AAACCAUGGUUAGGACAUCUUUUUAACAUUGACUUGUAUCGCUCCCACGCUUCACAAAGGGAUUCACUUGCACCUUGAGAAAAAACAACUAUUAUUUUUUUGGCCU